GAAAGAAGGAGAAGGAGAAGGAGAGCAAGGAAGGAAGAGGAAGGGAGGAGCAAGGGUUUCCUACCAACUAAGGAGUAUAACCAAGAGGUGACGAGACACGGCGCGAGGCCAUCGGUUGUCCAUCAUCACCUAGGACUCGAGAUGUUGAUUCAGGUAACCCUUCAGAAACUGUGAUUAAGGAUCCAUCUCUCUACAGAGGUGACCUCUGGGAUGAGAAGUUGGUUACACACGAGGACGGAUGCGUGUGUGAUGACUGUGCAUUUGGAAUACGCUAAAGAUGGGAGUAUCAUUUUCUCUUUUUUAUUCUUUUGUACUUAGUAGAGGUAGCCCUAGGGGCAUAAUUGUAAUUGAUAUUUCACUGCGAAAAUAUUUUGUUAAAUAUGAUAAAUACUGUUAGACUCCACCAGUUAUGUAUAUUUGACUUUUAUUAUUA